GCCUACGACCAUAUCACCCUGAAUGCGCCUGAUCUCGGAAGCUAAGCAUGGUCGAGCCUGAUUAGUACUUGGAUGGGAGACUGCCUUGGAAUACCAGGUGUUGUAGGCU
rnacentral:rRNA from 1 species